GAUGAACGCUAGCGACAGGCUUAACACAUGCAAGUCGAGGGGCAGCAUGAACUUAGCUUGCUAAGUUUGAUGGCGACCGGCGCACGGGUGAGUAACACGUAUCCAACCUUCCGUUUACUCAGGGAUAGCCUUUCGAAAGAAAGAUUAAUACCUGAUAGUAUGGUGAGAUUGCAUGAUAGCACCAUUAAAGAUUUAUUGGUAAACGAUGGGGAUGCGUUCCAUUAGGUAGUAGGCGGGGUAACGGCCCACCUAGCCGACGAUGGAUAGGGGUUCUAAGAGGAAGGUCCCCCACAUUGGAACUGAGACACGGUCCAAACUCCUACGGGAGGCAGCAGUGAGGAAUAUUGGUCAAUGGGCGAGAGCCUGAACCAGCCAAGUAGCGUGAAGGAUGAAGGUCCUACGGAUUGUAAAACUUCUUUUAUACGGGAAUAAAGUUUCCUACGUGUAGGAUUUUGUAUGUACCGUAUGAAUAAGCAUCGGCUAAACUCCGUG
rnacentral:rRNA from 1 species